rnacentral:rRNA from 1 species
CAGUCGCCACGGUAAUACGAAGGGGGCUAGCGUUGUUCGGAAUUACUGGGCGUAAAGGGCGCGUAGGCGGCCAUUCAAGUUAGAUGUGAAAGCCCUGGGCUCAACCUAGGAAUUGCAUUUGAUACUGCUUGGCUUGAGUUCGGGAGAGGUGAGUGGAAUUCCCAGUGUAGAGGUGAAAUUCGUAGAUAUUGGGAAGAACACCAGUGGCGAAGGCGGCUCACUGGACCGACACUGACGCUGAGGCGCGAAAGCGUGGGGAGCAAACAGGAUUAGAUACCCCUGUAGUCCCUGUCUCUUAUAC